GAACAGCUGCUUCUCUCCCCGCGCGGCGCGGCGCUGGGGCUCGGGGCUCCCGCUCUGUAGCCGGCGAUGGGGUAGGGCUGGAGACGCCUGUAGGCGGCCUGGCUCUCGGCGUCGCCUGCUCUAACCAGUCAAAGUCUUAGGGACCCGGCGCAGCACCAGCCGGGACCCAGGGUGCGGGGACUGUGCCCAAGGAGGAAGCUGCGUUGCUUUCCAGAGGGGACGACGCGAGCUUUUUGGGUUAGGCCUCGGUGACAGGGCCGGCGACCUGGACUGGCGAACUGGGGUCCCCAGAGGCCUGGGGCGAUUCGCUGAGAGGCCAAUCCCCUCCCGGGCGCGGGGGGUCAAGGAGCUCGGCCGAACGAAACCCAAGCUGGACACCCUGGGGUCUGAAGAGUGAGAAGGAGGGCCCCAACUUUCUUUGGCCCCAAAAAGCCAGUGCGGGGAAGUAUCAGAGAGGUAGAGCCAGAAGGAAAAGAAAGAUCUAGCGCUUGGGUGUAGUUGGGAAAACCAUUAGCUUUAAUUGCUACCGCCCAGCCAAACCAAGUAACCGGAGAUACCUAUGUCCAUCAGGCACCGCCUUCUAUUUCAGAGGACCAUAAGUUAGUAUUUUAGCCCCCACAGUCACCAAAUUUGUCUUUCCUCCCUAACUUAGUUAUUCAGGAAGAUUGGUACAGAUGUCUUAGCAUAAGUCGUUCUUUUUUUUUUUUUUUCCCUAAACAAAGAAUUAAUCUAUUUCUUUCUCUUUGAAUUACAAGAAUGUUUAGUGGCUUGACCUCAUCUGUUUUUAUCUGGAUGUAAAUGUAAAAGGUAUAAUUUUUGAAAUCAACUUAUUGCAUAACCAGUGGUUUCUACCAGCAGACCUGAAAGCAUUUGUAGAACAUAGGGCACCCCAUAUAUAUUUAUUACUUUACAUCAGCUUUUUGCAACUUCUUUUAAUUGAGAAUUCAUUCAAUUAGGCCUUAAAAUCAAUCAGUCAUACUUGAGGUUUGGAUGAAAAUAUUUGAUGUGAGCAGAAGGUUUCAUCCACCAUUGUUGGUGCACAAUUGCCUUUUAAGUCCUUUCUACGGGAGUCUACAGUCCCUACAUUAAUCGCCCCUGAGCCGCACCAUUUAUUCCAUUAAAACAAUUCAGUAUGUUAACCGUUAGAGAGGUGCAUACUCUGUUUCUCUCCAGGACACCUUUGCAGUCAACCCAAGAGGGUGAGAAAUGUUGCAUUUGCAAAGGCUAAUGGGAAUGCAAAUAUUCUUGUGCAAAACAUUAAAUUCCGUUUUUCAUCUUGCUGA
rnacentral:lncRNA from 1 species